rnacentral:lncRNA from 1 species
CUCUUUUCUUUUUCUUCUUUUUCUUUUUCUUCUUUUUCUUCUUUUCUUUUUUCUUUGGUUCCUUCCAGGCCGAACAGGGGACGGUGGGGGUUCUCCGGCCUUGACCAGCCGUUCGGGCCACGGCCGCCGCGGCGGAGGCCGGCGGCCGACGGGAAUCACUCCCCCGGUCACGGAGGAGGGUGGUCGGCGAUCAAUUCCGAUCGCCGGCGUCGGAAACUUCAAGGAAAAGAGACCCAAAAAUAGAGGUCCCUUUCCCGACCAAAAAUCGGCGAUUUUUGUCGUCGACAGCCACACACAAUUGCACGGGGAGGAAGAAGAAGAAAGAGGAGAAGAAGAGGGGAAACUUACCUUAACCUCCGGUGACCUCGCUGGCGAGAAAACACGGCGAGAACCCGAACGAUAUCCGCGGCUUCGAUUUGAGAAAAACGGAGAGAAAGAGAGAGGGAGGAGGUCGAUCUUCAGUCUAAAGGGGAAUGGGUCUUCUUAUAGAGAGUCCUAGGACUCCGAAGGGUCCUAGGAUUCCUAUUUUCCAUGGGUUUCGCCGGAGAAGAAGACUCCUACCGGGAGUCUUCUUCCCGGUUGCUCUGUUUUUUUUU